UACGUAGGGGGCUAGCGUUGUCCGGAUUCAUUGGGCGUAAAGAGCUCGUAGGCGGCUCGGUAAGUCGGGUGUGAAACCUCUGGGCUCAACCCAGAGACGCCACCCGAUACUGCCAUGGCUAGAGUCCAGCAGGGGAGCGUGGAAUUCCCGGUGUAGCGGUGAAAUGCGCAGAUAUCGGGAGGAACACCAGCGGCGAAGGCGGCGCUCUGGGCUGGAACUGACGCUGAGGAGCGAAAGCGUGGGUAGCGAACAGG
rnacentral:rRNA from 1 species